AAACCAUGAUGUGGACAUCUUCGUUGUAACUCCCUAAAUCGCUCUCAUACCUCAUACAAAGAUUCUCCCUCUUGUUGACAAAAGUUAGUUAUAUCCAUUCUUAAUUU